GGUGGUUCAGUGGUAGAAUGCUCGCCUGCCACGCGGGCGACCUAAGUUCGAUUCCCGGCACCA
rnacentral:tRNA from 1 species